rnacentral:rRNA from 1 species
GACGAACGCUGGCGGCGUGCCUAAUACAUGCAAGUAGAACGCUGAAGGAGGAGCUUGCUUCUCUGGAUGAGUUGCGAACGGGUGAGUAACGCGUAGGUAACCUGCCUGGUAGCGGGGGAUAACUAUUGGAAACGAUAGCUAAUACCGCAUAAUAGUAGAUGUUGCAUGACAUUUGCUUAAAAGGUGCAAUUGCAUCACUACCAGAUGGACCUGCGUUGUAUUAGCUAGUUGGUGGGGUAACGGCUCACCAAGGCGACGAUACAUAGCCGACCUGAGAGGGUGAGCGGCCACACUGGGACGGAGACACGGCCCAGACUCCUACGGGAGGCAGCAGUAGGGAAUCUUCGGCAAUGGACGGAAGUCUGACCGAGCAACGCCGCGUGAGUGAAGAAGGUUUUCGGAUCGUAAAGCUCUGUUGUAAGAGAAGAACGAGUGUGAGAGUGGAAAGUUCACACUGUGACGGUAUCUGACCAGAAAGGGACGGCUAACUACGUG